rnacentral:rRNA from 1 species
UACGGAGGAUCCAAGCGUUAUCCGGAAUUACUGGGCGUAAAGAGUUGCGUAGGUGGCAUAGCAAGCAGAUAGUGAAAGCGUGCGACUCAACCGCAUAUCCAUUAUCUGAACUGCUAAGCUUGAGUAUGGGAGAGGUAGAUGGAAUUUCUAGUGUAGGAGUGAAAUCCGUAGAUAUUAGAAGGAACACCGAUGGCGUAGGCAGUCUACUGGCCCAUUACUGACACUAAGGCACGAAAGCGUGGGGAGCGAACGGG